rnacentral:rRNA from 1 species
UACGUAGGGGGCAAGCGUUGUCCGGAAUCAUUGGGCGUAAAGCGCGUGUAGGCGGCUGACUAAGUCCGCUCUGAAAGCCCGGGGCUCAACCCCGGGAGGCGGGUGGAUACUGGCCAGCUCGAGUCCGGAAGAGGAGUGUGGAAUUCCUGGUGUAGCGGUGAAAUGCGCAGAUAUCAGGAGGAACACCGAUGGCGAAGGCAGGUCUCUGGGCCACUACUGACGCUGAGAAGCGAAAGCAUGGGGAGCGAACAGG